rnacentral:lncRNA from 1 species
CAGAAACCUGUUCGUUGGCGUCUCCGCUGCGGCGCUCCCCUACGGCGCCUCGGCGGCUCAGCCAUACCCGUACGGCGCCCAGGCCUGACGGCGCCUCGGCCGACUUGUCGCUGGCUCGCCGCGCGCGCAGCGGCAGCGUCGGCCCCCGGCAGUCCGGCAAUCCAUCCAUCACGCAUCAGCAGCAGGUACUGCAGCAGUGCAGCGUCUUCGUCUUGGCCGGUUGGCUCUAUCGUGUAACUGUGUAAGUAUCAGCUGAUCAGUAUUCAGUAUUUCAGUAACCAGGAGCUGCUCAACUGCAGGACACAUCAGGUACUGUAGCCGUACUGCAGGAGCAGCAGGACAUCCAAAGACCGAAACUAUCAGGUACUGUAUCCAUCCAUCCAUCAGGACUAUCACGCAUGAUCCAUCCAUGAUCCAUCAGGGCUAUCACGCAUGAAUGUAAUAGCCGAUUUUCUGGUCAUCCAUCAUCUUUAUUUAGUAAUUAGUAAUUCAAGUACUUUUCCAUGCAUAUCUAGGGUUUCAGUCAUUUGAUGUAUAAAUUUCUAAUUCUUUGUAUUCUAUUAGGUACCAAACUAUCCAUAUAAGAUCAGCUUUAAAGGAACUCUUGAUUGUGUCCUUAAUGACUUUGCAUCAAGAAAUGCCUGAAGAAACUUUUUCUGAAGAAUUAAAUUCUUAUUUGAGGUAAU